GGAUGUCAAAAAGACCCGCGCCGGCCCGGCCCGACCCUCGCCGGCCCGGCUCGGCCCUAAAAUUUGGGGUCUUUUGGGGUCGGGUUUUUAUUUUCUUGGAAUAUGGCCCUAAAAUUUGGAGUAUCAAAGGGUUGGGGUUAGAUGGGCCGACCCAUUGACACUCUGGGUCGAUCCAUCUCCCUCUCUCAGUCUCUCUCCCAUUCUCUCUCCCCUUUCUGCGCGCAGAAAAUCGAGAUGAAAAAACCCUAGAUUUAAGCCAGCCGAUCGGCGACAAAAUCGAUCGCCUCCAUCGCCGUUCGCUUUCCUCCAGGUUUCUUCUACAAGCCUCCGCUGUGAAGCCGCCGCAUCUGCGCUUCUUGCUCCAUGCCCGUUGGGGGUGCAAAGCGUUGAUUCACCGAUGAUGCUCGUGCAUAUGCAACCGUCUGCGCGCUGAGGACCGGAUCCGGGGGCGGCAGAGUCCAAUUGUGUCGCCGGCGAAGGAUUUAGCCGAGGAUUUGGCGGAGGACAAGGCGUCCGGAGGAGUGGAGAAGGCUAAUUUGAGUGGGUCAUCAAAUUCCGUCUCUCUCAAGUAGAGGCUGGCGCUGUUCUGAACGGUAAGUUUUUCUGUCAUUCCUUCCCGCGAACAAGCACUGCUGUUGGUCGGAACUUUGCGUAGUCGUCCGAUUACCACUUUUGUUCUUUUGGCCAAAGAGUGAAGUUUCAGUGGGAGUCUGUGUAAAUGGCAUUCUUUCUGUGAAUCUUGCCUUUGCGUUUGGUUUUUGUUUCGACUGGAAGCUGUUGGAAGGUCAUUUGUUUUGAGAUAA